rnacentral:rRNA from 1 species
UACAGAGGUCUCAAGCGUUGUUCGGAUUCAUUGGGCGUAAAGGGUGCGUAGGCGGCUCAGCAAGUCGGGUGUGAAACCUCCAGGCUCAACCUGGAGACGCCACCCGAUACUGCUGUGGCUGGAGUCCGGUAGGGGAGCGUGGAAUUCCUGGUGUAGCGGUGAAAUGCGCAGAUAUCAGGAGGAACACCAGCGGCGAAGGCGGCGCUCUGGGCCGGUACUGACGCUGAGGAGCGAAAGCGUGGGUAGCAAACAGG